rnacentral:rRNA from 1 species
UACAGAGGGGGCAAGCGUUGUUCGGAAUUACUGGGCGUAAAGGGCGCGUAGGCGGCCUUCUAAGUCGAACGUGAAAUCCCCGGGCUCAACCCGGGAACUGCGUCCGAUACUGGAAGGCUUGAAUCCGGGAGAGGGAUGCGGAAUUCCAGGUGUAGCGGUGAAAUGCGCAGAUAUCAGGAAGAACACCCGUGGCUAAGGCGGUUCUCUAGUACGGUACUGACGCUGAGACGCGAAAGCGUGGGGAGCGAACAGG